GAAACUCCACUGAGGAAGCACCAAAGAAUGAGAUGUUACCGGUAUAAGGGCAACAAACUCAGGAAGAAUGAAUAUCUAAGACCGGUAUAAGGGUGAGAGAUAUCAAUCAACCAAACAUCUGAGAACGACCUGAAAAAGGUACAUAAACUCAGGAAAAUCUGACUCCACAAGGGACCAAGGUCAUAAUAGGGAGCAGAAAGGUAGGAACACCAGGGA
rnacentral:lncRNA from 1 species